rnacentral:rRNA from 1 species
AGCGGCGGAUGGGUGAGUAACACGUGGGGAACCUGCCCCUAAGUCUGGGAUACCAUUUGGAAACAGGUGCUAAUACCGGAUAAUAAAGCAGAUCGCAUGAUCAGCUUUUGAAAGGCGGCGUAAGCUGUCGCUAAGGGAUGGCCCCGCGGUGCAUUAGCUAGUUGGUAAGGUAACGGCUUACCAAGGCGACGAUGCAUAGCCGAGUUGAGAGACUGAUCGGCCACAUUGGGACUGAGACACGGCCCAAACUCCUACGGGAGGCAGCAGUAGGGAAUCUUCCACAAUGGACGCAAGUCUGAUGGAGCAACGCCGCGUGAGUGAAGAAGGUUUUCGGAUCGUAAAGCUCUGUUGUUGGUGAAGAAGGAUAGAGGUAGUAACUGGCCUUUAUUUGACGGUAAUCAACCAGAAAGUCACGGCUAACUACGUGCCAGCAGCCGCGGUAAUACGUAGGUGGCAAGCGUUGUCCGGAUUUAUUGGGCGUAAAGCGAGCGCAGGCGGAAAAAUAAGUCUAAUGUGAAAGCCCUCGGCUUCACCGAGGAACUGCAUCGGAAACUGUUUUUCUUGAGUGCAGAAGAGGAGAGUGGAACUCCAUGUGUAGCGGUGGAAUGCGUAGAUAUAUGGAAGAACACCAGUGGCGAAGGCGGCUCUCUGGUCUGCAACUGACGCUGAGGCUCGAAAGCAUGGGUAGCGAACAGGAUUAGAUACCCUGGUAGUCCAUGCCGUAAACGAUGAGUGCUAAGUGU